AUUGAACGCUGGCGGCAUGCCUAACACAUGCAAGUCGAACGGCAGCACGACCUAGCUUGCUAGGUUGGUGGCGAGUGGCGCACGGGUGAGUAAUGCGUAGGAAUAUACCUUAAAGUGGGGGACAACCUGGGGAAACUCAGGCUAAUACCGCAUGAGCUCUAAGGAGGAAAGCUGGGGACCUUUCGGGGCCUGGCGCUUGAAGAAUCGCUUACGUCCGAUUAGUUAGUUGGUGGGGGAAAGGCUUACCAAGACGAUGAUCGGUAGCUGGUCUGAGAGGAUGAUCAGCCACACUGGGACUGAGACACGGCCCAGACUCCUACGGGAGGCAGCAGUGGGGAAUAUUGGACAAUGGGGGAAACCCUGAUCCAGCGAUGCCGCGUGUGUGAAGAAGGCCUGCGGGUUGUAAAGCACUUUCGGUGGGGAGGAGGACUUAUAGGUUAAGAGCUAAUGAGUUGGACGUUACCCACAUAAGAAGCACCGGCUAACUCCGUGCCAGCCGCCGCAGUAA
rnacentral:rRNA from 1 species